rnacentral:ncRNA from 2 species
GCGCGUUCUCAGGGCGGGGCGGAAUUCCCCACCGGCGGUAUGCGGCAUGAUCCGCGAGCCCGCGAGCGGCCCGAGCCACACAAGGCUUCGGGUGUCAGCAGAUCAGGUGAAAUGCCUGAGCCGACGGUCAUAGUCCGGAUGGAAGAGAACGUGC